UACGUAGGUGGCAAGCGUUGUCCGGAAUCACUGGGCGUAAAGGGCGCGUAGGCGGCCUGAUAAGUAGGGGGUGAAAUCCUGCGGCUUAACCGCAGGGCUGCCUUCUAAACUGUCAGGCUAGAGCACAGUAGAGGCAGGUGGAAUUCCCGGUGUAGCGGUGGAAUGCGUAGAGAUCGGGAAGAACAUCAGUGGCGAAGGCGGCCUGCUGGGCUGUUGCUGACGCUGAGGUGCGACAGCGUGGGGAGCAAACAGG
rnacentral:rRNA from 1 species